rnacentral:rRNA from 1 species
UACGUAGGCAGCAAGCGUUGUUCGGAGUUACUGGGCGUAAAGAGUGCGUAGGUGGUGCCCUAAGUCUGUUGUGAAAUCUCCCGGCUUAACUGGGAGGGUGCGGUGGAAACUGGGGUGCUUGAGUGUGGGAGAGGUAAGCGGAAUUCCUGGUGUAGCGGUGAAAUGCGUAGAUAUCAGGAGGAACACCGGUGGUGUAGACGGCUUACUGGACCACGACUGACACUGAGGAGCGAAAGCGUGGGGAGCGAACAGG